rnacentral:rRNA from 1 species
AACAGGAUUAGAUACCCUGGUAGUCCACGCCGUAAACGAUGAGUGCUAAGUGUUAGAGGGUUUCCGCCCUUUAGUGCUGCAGCUAACGCAUUAAGCACUCCGCCUGGGGAGUACGGUCGCAAGACUGAAACUCAAAGGAAUUGACGGGGGCCCGCACAAGCGGUGGAGCAUGUGGUUUAAUUCGAAACAACGCGAAGAACCUUACCAGGUCUUGACAUCCUCUGACAACUCUAGAGAUAGAGCAUUCCCCUUCGGGGGACAGAGUGACAGGUGGUGCAUGGUUGUCGUCAGCUCGUGUCGUGAGAUGUUGGGUUAAGUCCCGCAACGAGCGCAACCCUUGAUCUUAGUUGCCAGCAUUUAGUUGGGCACUCUAAGGUGACUGCCGGUGACAAACCGGAGGAAGGUGGGGAUGACGUCAAAUCAUCAUGCCCCUUAUGACCUGGGCUACACACGUGCUACAAUGGAUGGUACAAAGGGCUGCAAGACCGCGAGGUCAAGCCAAUCCCAUAAAACCAUUCUCAGUUCGGAUUGUAGGCUGCAACUCGCCUACAUGAAGCUGGAAUCGCUAGUAAUCGCGGAUCAGCAUGCCGCGGUGAAUACGUUCCCGGGCCUUGUACACACCGCCCGUCACACCACGAGAGUUUGUAACACCCGAAGUCGGUGGAGUAACCGUAAGGAGCUAGCCGCCUAAGGUGGGACAGAUGAUUGGGGUGAAGUCGUAACAAGGUAGCCGUAUCGGAAGGUGCGGCUGGAUCACCUCCUU